rnacentral:rRNA from 1 species
UACGGAGGGUGCAAGCGUUGCUCGGAAUUAUUGGGCGUAAAGGGUAGGUAGGUGGUCUGAUUUGUCUCAUGUGAAAGCCUUGAGCUUAACUCAAGAAGUGCGUGAGAAACGGUCAGACUAGAGUACUGGAGAGGCUAGUGGAAUUCCCGGUGUAGCGGUGAAAUGCGUAGAGAUCGGGAGGAACACCAGAGGCGAAGGCGGCGACCUGGACAGGCACUGACACUCAACUACGAAAGCGUGGGGAGCAAACAGG